GCCAGUCUGGUGUAACGGGAGCACGGCGGUCUCCAAAACCGCGUGGUCCGGGUUCAAGUCCUGGGGCUGGUGCCC
rnacentral:tRNA from 1 species